ACUGCUCAGUAACACGUGGAUAACAUGCCCUAAGGUGGGGGAUAAUCUCGGGAAACUGAGGAUAAUACCCCAUAGGUCUGAUCUGCUGGAAUGCUUUCAGGCCGAAAACUCCGGUGCCUUAGGAUUGGUCUGCGGUCUAUCAGGCUGUAGUGGGUGUAAUGGACCCACUAGCCCGUGACGGAUAUGGGCCUUGAGAGAGGGAGCCCAGAGAUGGACUCUGAGACAUGAGUCCAGGCCCUACGGGGCGCAGCAGUCGCGAAAACUUCGCAAUGGGGGCAACCCCGACGAGGGAAUUCCAAGUGCCAGCACUUUGUGUUGGCUGUUCUCCUGUCUAAAAAACAGGAGGAGUAAGGGGCGGGUAAGACGGGUGCCAGCCGCCGCGGUAAUACCCGCGCCCCUAGUGGUGGUCGAUAUUAUUGAGCCUAAAACGUCCGUAGCCGGUCUUCUAAAUCCUUGGGUAAAUCGGGCAGCUUAACUGUCCGAAGUCCGGGGAGACUGGGAGACUUGGGACCGGGAGAGGUCAGAGGUACUUCUGGGGUAGGGGUAAAAUCCUGUAAUCCUGGAAGGACCACCGGUGGCGAAGGCGUCUGACUAGAACGGAUCCGACGGUGAGGGACGAAGCCCUGGGGCGCAAACGGGAUUAGAUACCCCGGUAGUCCAGGGUGUAAACGCUGCGGGCUUGGUGUUGGGGGUCCUUAGUGGGCGCCCAGUGCCGGAGAGAAGUUGUUAAGCCUGCUGCUUGGGGAGUAUGUCCGCAAGGAUGAAACUUAAAGGAAUUGGCGGGGGAGCAC
rnacentral:rRNA from 1 species